CGGAGGCCGGCGCCGGGUUCAAGUAAUCCAGGAUAGGCUGUGGUCUGCGCAGUCGGCCUGUUCUCGAUUACUUGGCGCCGGAGCCGGCCGGCAGCU
ensembl:miRNA